GUCAGAACCUACUGGCUUGCAAAAUAUGUCAGUCAUUUUGACAUGUGGGGGGAAUAUCAACUUGACAUUUGGGUCAAUAAUAAUCAAAUGUUAUCAUUAUUAUAGAGGAGGGCCCACACUGUUCCUGUGUCUCCAUCUUCUCCAGUUUGAACUACGUGUCUGUCAGUCCACCCGUUGUACAUCGCUGCGGAAUCUGUUGGCGCUUUCUAAAUAUAAAUAAUAGCGCAUAAUAAUAAUUACCUUUCCAGCAGAAGAGUGUUAAUAAAAGUUACAGUGAAGUAAAUGAAAUCUUGUUAUGGGAAAUGUCCCACAAAUAGGGAAGACCCGGAUUGUAAUAAUAAACCAAUUUAUGUGCAAAACUUCACGACAAAUAUUUAUUUGAAAGCACAUCAGUAAUAGAAUGCUGAAAACACCACCACAAACUAUAUUUUGCUCUUAAUCAUAGCUGUUAUGAAAAAUUAAAUACUGUGCAUUGUACAGUGUUUCUGCAAGUAAAAAUAUUUGAAAUAUUGUAUAAAGCAAAGGUUAAAUACAUUUUAAUAAAUCUAGUUUGGCAAAGUUUAGGAAUUAGGCAUCACACAUUUUUACUAAUAGAAUAAGGCUGAUAGCUUGAUAGUAUGCAGGCUAGAAGUCAGCGUACGAGAAAAGCACUUAAUACAUAAUUGUAAUUAUGAUUAUUAUAUUACUGCCAUCUUUGGGAAGAGCUCACAUUUGUGCUUUUUUGCACUAAAAAUCUGUGCUUAGUACUUUACCACAGGGGUGUUGAUCUGAAGCUACCAAGAGUUUUAUUUGCGGGUAAUGAAUGGUAGCGAAUCGUAAUCCAAAUAUAGAGGACGUUUUGCAGAAUUGUUCAAGCUACUUUUCCUUAAUCUUUGCAGUUGUGUCUCCAGUUCAGUGCAAUUCACUGUUAAAUGAAUAAACACAAAAUAUUUUCUUUGACUACAACUCUACAAGGCUCUACAAGCCUGUAUGUAAAGAGAGGUAUGGGUCUCACAACAGUCCAUCAAUAUGUGGUGUGUGUGUGGACUGUAUAACACGCAUUUGUUAAUUCAGUUUUCACCUGUUGUGAAAGUGUGAGGUAUACAUAAAAUGAAAUAAAGCAAUCCUAACAUCUGAAAUUUCGAAUGUUUUUAUUAUGCUAAUAUAUUAAAAUAAGCAUUUCUGUGUCCAAAUUUCACCUCCAUAGACCUGGUAUGCAAGUCAUUCUUAUAGAUAGCAUUACAAUAUAACUAAUUUAAUGUCAAUUAAUUAAAUAUUCAUAG